UUCCUUCGGGGUUAGGUGAAAUUCCUUACCGACGGUGAUGAACAAACCAAUUGUUCUAAGCCCGUGACCCAUUUUAAUUUAGGCUUUUUGCUAUGAAAUCUUUUCAUUUAAAAUGGUGGACUUGGUGAGAAUCCAAGGCCGACAGUUAUAGUCUGGAUGGGAGAAGGA
rnacentral:ncRNA from 1 species